GAGCGGCAGCACGGGUACUUGUACCUGGUGGCGAGCGGCGGACGGGUGAGUAAUGCCUAGGAAUCUGCCUGGUAGUGGGGGAUAACGUCCGGAAACGGGCGCUAAUACCGCAUACGUCCUACGGGAGAAAGUGGGGGAUCUUCGGACCUCACGCUAUCAGAUGAGCCUAGGUCGGAUUACCUAGUUGGUGAGGUAAUGGCUCACCAAGGCGACGAUCCGUAACUGGUCUGAGAGGAUGAUCAGUCACACUGGAACUGAGACACGGUCCAGACUCCUACGGGAGGCAGCAGUGGGGAAUAUUGGACAAUGGGCGAAAGCCUGAUCCAGCCAUGCCGCGUGUGUGAAGAAGGUCUUCGGAUUGUAAAGCACUUUAAGUUGGGAGGAAGGGCAGUUACCUAAUACGUAAUUGUUUUGACGUUACCGACAGAAUAAGCACCGGCUAACUCUGUGCCAGCAGCCGCGGUAAUACAGAGGGUGCAAGCGUUAAUCGGAAUUACUGGGCGUAAAGCGCGCGUAGGUGGUUUGUUAAGUUGGAUGUGAAAGCCCCGGGCUCAACCUGGGAACUGCAUCCAAAACUGGCAAGCUAAAGUAUGGUAGAGGGUGGUGGAAUUUCCUGUGUACCGGUGAAAUGCGUAGACAUUAGAAGGAACACCAGUGGCGAAGGCGACCACCUGGACUGAUACUGACACUGAGGUGCGAAAGCGUGGGGAGCAAACAGGAUUAAAUACCCUGGUAGUCCACGCCCUAAACGAUGUCAACUAACCGUUGGGAGCUUUGAGCUCUUACUGGCGCAGCUAACGCAUUAAGU
rnacentral:rRNA from 1 species